UACUGUACUAAGGCUCCCUCUGCCUCCUAUUUCGUUUCACACGAAAAAAAAAUAAAUUAAAAUCACCAAAUCGAAAAAAAUUAUCAAAAUCAAUAAUCCCGAAGAUAAAUUCAAUCGGUCGCACAUCAAAUUAGUUUCGGGUUUUUGUCAAUGGCGCACUUAGGCGGUGGUGCAGAGGCACACGCUAGAUUCAAACAGUAUGAAUAUAGAGCAAAUUCUAGUUUAGUUUUAACUACUGAUUCCCGGCCACGUGACACUCACGAGCCCACCGGUGAGCCGGAGUCUCUUUGGGGAAAAAUUGAUCCGAAAAGCUUCGGCGACCGUGCUUUUAUUGGGAAGCCUCCUGAAUUAGAGGAGAAGAAGCAGAAAUCUAAGAGGAAGAAGGAGAGGGACCCGAAUGCUGAGCCUGUACCGAAGCGGAAACGUCGUCGGCUUAGGGAGGAGAGUGUGCUGAGUUCGAGUGAGGAGGGGGUUUAUCAGCCUAAGACGAAGGAGACUAGAGCAGCUUAUGAGGCGAUGUUGAGUGUUAUUCAGCAGCAGUUGGGUGGGCAGCCGUUGAAUAUUGUGAGUGCUGCGGCGGAUGAGAUAUUGGCGGUUUUGAAGAAUGAGAGUGUGAAGAGUACUGAUAAGAGGAAGGAGAUUGAGAAGCUGUUGAAUCCGGUUCCGAAUGAUGUUUUUGAUCAGCUUGCGAAGAUUGGUAUGCUUAUUACGGAUUUUCAGGAUGUGAGCGCGAAUGGUGAUGUUGGUGGGAGUGGUGUUAGUAAUGGCGAUGGUGAUGACGGGCUUGAUGAUGAUGUGGGUGUGGCUGUUGAGUUUGAGGAAGAUAAUGAGGAUGAAGAGGAUGAGAGUGAUUUGGAUCUUGUGCCGGAUGAGGAAGAUGAGGAGGAUGAGGAUUUGGCUGAGCCUAAUGGCUCGGGUGCUGGCGGUAUGCAAAUGGGUGGUGGUGUUGAUGAUGAAGAUAUGCAAGAGGCUGAUGAAGGGUUUAGCCUUAAUGUGCAAGAUAUUGAUGCUUAUUGGCUUCAGAGGAAGAUAUCCCAAGGUUUUGGUGGGAAGAUGGAUGCAGAACAGUGUCAGAAACUUGCAGAGGAAGUUCUUAAAACACUUAGCGAGGGAGGAGAGGAUGUUGAAGUUGAAACCAAAAUAGUCCAUUAUCUCACGUUUGAACUGUUUACACUUGUAAGGAUUAUUAUGCGUAACAAGCUGAAGAUUAUUUGGUGUACUCGUUUGGCGAGGGCUAAAGACGAGGAAGAGAGAAAGCAGAUUGAGGAAGAAUUGAUGAGUUCAGGUCCAGAGUCGGUGGCGAUUUUGGAGCAGUUACAUGCUACAAGGGCAACUGCAAAAGAGAGGCAAAGGAACUUGGAGAAGAGUAUAAGAGAAGAGGCCCGCCGGCUUAAGGAUGAGAGCGGUGGAGACUAUAGUAGGGAUAGGAGGGGGAUUGUGGAUAGAGAUUCAGAAAGUGGUUGGGUGAAGGGUCAAGCUCAGUUGCUCGAUCUAGAAAGCAUCGCUUUUGAUCAGGGUGGUCUUUUGAUGGCCAACAAGAAGUGUGAUCUUCCAGUUGGUUCCUACAGGCAUACAAGCAAGGGCUACGAAGAAGUUCACGUGCCAGCCUUGAAGCCUAAACCAAUAGCACCGGAUGAGAAGCUUGUGAAGAUAGCGGACAUGCCGUCUUGGGCACAUCCUGCUUUUAAAGGGAUGCAGCAGUUGAAUAGAGUACAAAGUAGAGUUUAUGACACUGCCCUUUUUCAGGCAGACAAUCUUCUUCUGUGUGCCCCCACUGGAGCAGGGAAAACUAAUGUUGCAGUACUUACCAUACUUCAGCAGAUCAGAUUGAACAUGAACAAAGAUGGUACAUUCAACCAUAGCGACUAUAAGAUAGUCUAUGUGGCACCUAUGAAAGCUCUUGUUGCUGAAGUUGUUGGUAAUUUGUCCAAUCGUCUGCAGGAGUACGGUGUCAAGGUUAGGGAGCUGAGUGGAGACCAGUCAUUGACGAGGCAACAAAUUGAAGAAACUCAAAUAAUUGUGACUACCCCUGAGAAGUGGGAUAUUAUUACCAGAAAGUCUGGGGAUCGCACUUACACGCAGCUUGUGAAAUUACUCAUCAUCGACGAGAUUCACCUUCUCCAUGAUAAUAGAGGACCUGUGCUUGAGAGUAUUGUUGCUAGGACUGUCAGACAAAUUGAAACUACAAAAGAACAUAUUCGUCUAGUUGGAUUAUCCGCUACUCUCCCUAAUUAUGAAGAUGUAGCCUUGUUUCUAAGGGUUGACCUCAAAAAAGGACUUUUUCAUUUUGACAAUAGUUACAGACCCGUCCCUCUAUCUCAACAGUAUAUAGGAAUCACAGUGAAGAAACCACUGCAGAGGUUUCAGUUGAUGAAUGAUAUCUGUUAUGAAAAGGUAAUGGAAGUUGCUGGAAAGCAUCAAAUUCUUAUUUUUGUCCACUCAAGGAAGGAAACGGCAAAGACAGCUAAAGCGAUUCGGGAUUCCGCUCUUAAUAAUGAUACUCUUGGAAGAUUCUUGAAAGAAGACAGUGCAAGCCGUGAGAUUCUUCAAAGUCAUACAGAUAUGGUAAAGAGCAACGAUCUUAAAGAUCUUCUGCCCUAUGGUUUUGCAAUUCAUCAUGCUGGUAUGACAAGAGCUGACCGUCAACUUGUUGAGGAUCUUUUUGCAGAUGGACAUGUGCAAGUUUUGGUUUCUACUGCAACUCUUGCUUGGGGUGUUAACUUGCCUGCUCAUACUGUGAUUAUUAAAGGGACUCAGAUUUAUAAUCCAGAUAAAGGAGCAUGGACUGAAUUAAGUCCUUUGGAUGUCAUGCAGAUGUUAGGUCGUGCUGGGAGACCUCAAUAUGAUUCUUACGGAGAAGGAAUUAUCAUCACUGGUCAUAGUGAACUUCAGUACUAUCUGUCUUUGAUGAAUCAGCAACUUCCUAUUGAAAGCCAGUUUAUAUCCAAACUGGCCGAUCAGUUGAAUGCAGAAGUUGUUCUUGGGACCGUCCAGAAUGCUAGAGAAGCUUGCAAUUGGCUAGGUUAUACGUACCUGUAUGUUCGUAUGCUGCGAAAUCCAACGCUUUAUGGCUUAGCACCAGAUGUUCUCACAAGGGAUAUUACUUUAGAGGAGCGGAGGGCUGAUUUGAUUCAUUCUGCUGCAACUAUAUUGGACAAAAACAAUCUGGUUAAGUAUGACAGGAAGAGUGGAUAUUUCCAGGUCACUGACUUGGGUCGCAUUGCUAGCUACUAUUAUAUAACUCACGGCACAAUCUCUACAUACAAUGAGCAUCUGAAGCCAACAAUGGGGGAUAUAGAGCUAUGUCGUCUGUUUUCACUCAGUGAAGAAUUUAAGUAUGUCACUGUGAGACAAGACGAGAAAAUGGAGCUGGCUAAGCUUUUGGAUCGCGUUCCAAUUCCAAUCAAGGAAAGCCUGGAGGAGCCCAGUGCAAAGAUUAACGUUCUGCUUCAGGCAUAUAUCUCGCAGCUUAAGCUUGACGGUCUUUCCCUCACAUCAGACAUGGUGUUCAUAACUCAGAGUGCCGGCCGUCUUGUACGAGCCCUUUUUGAGAUUAUCGUGAAAAGAGGAUGGGCACAAUUAGCUGAAAAAGCUCUCAACCUGUGUAAAAUGGUCAACAAGAGGAUGUGGAGCGUCCAGACGCCCCUGCGCCAAUUCAAUGGGAUCCCAAAUGAAAUUCUUAUGAAGUUGGAGAAAAAAGAUUUGGCUUGGGAAAGGUAUUAUGAUCUUUCCUCACAGGAGAUUGGUGAACUCAUUCGUUUCCCAAAGAUGGGUAGAACAUUGCACAAGUUCAUCCAUCAAUUCCCAAAGCUGAACCUGGCUGCACACGUUCAGCCAAUUACUCGUUCUGUGUUGAGGGUUGAACUUGCUAUAACUCCAGACUUCCAAUGGGAGGAUAAGGUUCAUGGCUAUGUGGAGCCAUUUUGGGUUAUUGUGGAGGACAAUGAUGGUGAGUAUAUUCUCCAUCAUGAGUAUUUUAUGUUGAAGAAGCAGUACAUCGAUGAGGAUCACACAUUGAACUUUACUGUGCCAAUCUAUGAGCCAUUGCCGCCUCAGUAUUUUAUCCGUGUUGUAUCAGAUAAAUGGCUUGGGUCACAAACUGUUUUACCCGUAUCUUUUAGGCAUCUCAUUUUGCCAGAGAAGUAUCCUCCUCCCACUGAGUUACUGGACUUGCAACCUUUACCUGUUACUGCACUGAGGAAUCCAUCAUAUGAAGCUCUUUAUCAAGAUUUCAAGCAUUUUAAUCCUGUUCAAACUCAGGUUUUUACUGUUCUCUAUAACACAGAUGACAAUGUCUUAGUUGCAGCACCAACAGGCAGUGGGAAAACCAUUUGUGCAGAGUUCGCUAUAUUAAGGAAUCAUCAAAAGGGACCUGAUAGUGUCAUGCGAGCUGUGUAUAUUGCACCUCUUGAAGCAAUUGCUAAGGAACGGUUUCGUGAUUGGGAGCGAAAAUUUGGUCGAGGUUUUGGCAUGCGAGUUGUUGAAUUAACUGGGGAAACAGCAGCAGACUUGAAACUGCUUGAAAAGGGUCAAAUAAUCAUCAGUACUCCAGAAAAAUGGGAUGCUUUGUCUCGUCGCUGGAAACAGCGGAAGUAUGUGCAGCAGGUUAGUUUAUUUAUCGUUGACGAGCUCCACUUGAUUGGGGGUCAAGGUGGUCCUAUAUUAGAAGUAGUUGUUUCCAGGAUGAGGUAUAUUGCUAGUCAGAUUGAGAACAAGAUUCGUAUUGUGGCAUUGUCUUCUUCGCUUGCAAAUGCAAAGGAUCUUGGGGAGUGGAUAGGAGCCACCUCGCACGGACUUUUUAAUUUCCCUCCUGGCGUACGCCCUGUCCCUUUGGAGAUACAUAUCCAGGGAGUAGAUAUCGCCAAUUUUGAAGCAAGGAUGCAGGCCAUGACAAAACCUACUUACACCGCAAUUGUCCAACAUGCCAAAAAUGGAAAGCCCGCUAUUAUUUUUGUUCCUACAAGAAAACAUGUGCGACUCACCGCAGUGGAUCUGAUGACGUAUUCUAGUACAGAGGGUGGAGAGAAGCCUUCUUUCCUGAUGCGGUCAACAGAAGAACUGGAGCCUUUUGUCGAGAAGGUUGGGGAUGAAAUGUUGAGAACCACCUUACGACAAGGGGUUGGCUAUCUGCAUGAAGGCUUGAGCAGUUUAGAUCAAGAGGUUGUGUCGCAGCUUUUUGAAGCUGGGUGGAUUCAGGUUUGUGUUAUGAGCAGUUCAAUGUGUUGGGGGGUACCAUUGGCAGCACAUUUGGUGGUUGUGAUGGGAACUCAGUAUUAUGACGGGCGUGAAAACAUGCACACAGAUUACCCUGUUACAGAUCUGUUGCAGAUGAUGGGCCAUGCUAGUCGCCCUCUGCUUGAUAAUUCUGGAAAAUGUGUCAUCCUGUGUCAUGCGCCCCGGAAAGAGUAUUACAAGAAGUUCCUAUACGAGGCAUUUCCUGUUGAAAGUCAUUUGCACCACUUCCUUCAUGACAAUUUUAAUGCUGAAGUGGUUGCUGGAGUUAUUGAAAACAAGCAGGAUGCGGUGGAUUAUCUUACAUGGACUUUCAUGUACAGACGGCUCACACAAAAUCCAAACUACUACAAUCUUCAGGGAGUUAGUCAUAGGCAUCUUUCUGAUCACCUUUCAGAGCUUGUUGAAAACACUUUGAGUGGUCUGGAAGCAAGCAAAUGUGUUGCAAUUGAGGAGGAUAUGGACCUUUCUCCAUUGAAUCUCGGCAUGAUAGCAUCUUAUUACUACAUCAGUUAUACUACUAUUGAGCGUUUUAGUUCUUCGCUGGCUUCUAAAACCAGAAUGAAAGGUCUCUUGGAAAUUCUUGCUUCCGCUUCUGAGUAUGCACAACUUCCUAUACGACCUGGAGAGGAAGAGGUACUCCGACGGCUUAUCAAUCAUCAAAGAUUCUCAUUUGAAAACCCCAGAUAUAGUGAUCCACAUGUGAAGGCAAAUGUAAUGCUACAAGCCCAUUUUUCAAGGCAUGCUGUAGGUGGAAACCUAGCUUUAGACCAGCGAGAAGUGCUUCUUUCUGCUAGUAGAUUGCUUCAGGCAAUGGUUGAUGUUAUUUCAAGCAGUGGUUGGUUGAGCCUUGCACUUCUUGCAAUGGAAGUUAGCCAAAUGGUGACCCAGGGGAUGUGGGAGCGUGAUUCUAUGCUUUUACAGCUUCCACACUUCACUAAGGAGUUAGCCAAGAAAUGCCAGGAGAAUCCCGGAAAGGCUAUAGAGACGGUGUUUGAUCUGGCAGAGAUGGAGGAUGAUGACAGGCGUGAGCUUCUCCAGAUGACAGACUCACAGUUAUUAGAUAUCGCAAGGUUCUGCAACCGGUUUCCCAACAUCGACAUGUCAUAUGAGGUAGUUGAUGGUGACGAUGUGAGGGCAGGAGAAGAUAUCACUCUGCAAGUCGCUCUUGAACGGGAUUUAGAUGGGAGGACAGAAGUCGGACCUGUUGACGCUGCAAGGUAUCCUAAAGCCAAGGAAGAGGGAUGGUGGCUUGUUGUCGGUGACACCAAGAGCAACCAACUGCUUGCCAUCAAGAGAGUCUCUCUGCAGAGGAAGGCAAAGGUGAAGCUUGAGUUUGCUGCCCCCUCUGAAGCCGGAAGGAAAUCAUAUACGUUGUAUUUUAUGUGCGACUCUUAUUUGGGCUGUGAUCAGGAAUAUAACUUUAAUGUUGAUGUCAAAGAAGCAGGCGGCGCAGAUGAGGAUAAUAGGAGAGACUAGAGAGAAUUUAACUUUAAUGUUGAUGUCAAAGAAGCAGGCGGUCCGGACAAUGGGAGAAAUUAGAGACAAUUAACAAUCUAUAACUAUUAAGAUGAUGAUCAGAAUCAUAGCAGUUAGUUGGCUGUGAGAAUGGAGGAGAUCAAAUUGGAAGAAUAAGGAAUUAACUCAAUUAUCUAUUAUGUUUUUUUGUUUCUGAUGAUUUUUUUUGAGAGGAAGUUUCUGAUGAUUUAAAUUAGUAGUGUUGCAUUCAAUUUCAAUUUGUUCAAAAUGAUUCUUCUGUGUAAACAUCAAUAUUGUCUUUAAAUAUUAUGGAGUAAUUCUUGUAUUA